rnacentral:tRNA from 44 species
GCGGGUGUAGUUCAAUGGUAGAACGCUAGCCUUCCAAGCUGGAUGUAAGGGUUCGAUUCCCUUUACCCGCUCCA